rnacentral:rRNA from 1 species
CAGCAGCCGCGGUAAUACGUAGGGCGCAAGCGUUAUCCGGAAUUAUUGGGCGUAAAGAGCUCGUAGGCGGUUUGUCGCGUCUGCCGUGAAAGUCCGGGGCUCAACCCCGGAUCUGCGGUGGGUACGGGCAGACUAGAGUGAUGUAGGGGAGACUGGAAUUCCUGGUGUAGCGGUGAAAUGCGCAGAUAUCAGGAGGAACACCGAUGGCGAAGGCAGGUCUCUGGGCAUUAACUGACGCUGAGGAGCGAAAGCAUGGGGAGCGAACAGGAUUAGAUACCCGUGUAGUCCCUGUCUCUUAUAC